rnacentral:rRNA from 1 species
UACGUAGGGGGCUAGCGUUGUCCGGAAUCAUUGGGCGUAAAGAGCGUGUAGGCGGCCCGGUAAGUCCGCUGUAAAGGUCAAAGGCUCAACCUUUGAAUGUCAGUGGAUACUGCCGGGCUAGAGUCCGGAAGAGGAGAGUGGAAUUCCUGGUGUAGCGGUGAAAUGCGCAGAUAUCAGGAAGAACACCCGUGGCGAAGGCGGCUCUCUGGGACGGUACUGACGCUGAGACGCGAAAGCGUGGGGAGCGAACAGG